AUUUGAUGAUGCUGAAAAGUGGCAACGGCAGCUGGGAUUGAUGUUUCCCACCUACGGGCUGCACAUGAAGAAGCAGAUACCCGCGUAUUGCUACAUGCUGUUGAUGCCAAAAUCAAAGGGUAUGAGAGGCUCAUCAUUCAAUGCAGAGACACAGAUGUACUGUUGUUGCUUCUUGUGUUUGCACCCCUGCUGAGCCCAGAGAUUUGGAUGAAAGCAGGAACUGCUAAUAAACCACGCUACAUUAAAGUGCAUGAUAUUAAAAUGUCAAAUGAGAAUCUGAAUGGUCUGUUGGCAUUUCAUGCCACCACUGGAUGUGACACUACCAGUCAGUUCACUGGAAUAGGGAAAAGGACGGCGUGGAAAGUGUUCCAGCAGUGCCCUCAUCUUCUCCACAACUUUGGUGAGGAUGAAGUACCAAGUCCAGGCUAUUCUAUCUUCAGCAGAACAGUUUUUCUGCAAACUUUAUGAUCCAAAAACGACCAACACUUUAAUCCAUGAAGUUCGCUGUGCCCUGUUUCGGAAAGUGAAAGCCAAUGUGGAUACUUUACCACCAACUCAGGAUGCCUUGUCUCUGCACCUCAUGAGGGCCCACUAUCAAACGAAGGUUUGGAAACAGUCAAUAGUGACCCAUCCGCAGUUUCCCUCACCAACAAGUUGUGGUUGGCACAUGAAGGAUGGAAUGCUUGUCCCCCAGCUUUUAACCAAAGAACCUGUACAGUGCUUGGAGCUGACGAUAUGCGGAUGCGAAGAAAGUCAGUGCAGUACCAGGCAGUGUCGAUGUCGAUGAAGUGGAAUAUUUUGCAGUGGGGCAUGUGGGUGUGCCUGUGCAGCUUGGUGCAAGAAUACUCAGGACUCAGACUGAGCACAUGGACAUGGUCCCUGGAUGCCUUAAAUUUACAUUUAGGGCAUUUAGCAGACGCUUUUAUCCAAAGCGACUUACUUCUGUUGGCUGCCUACCUGACUGCCACUGCUUGGAUGGGGAAAAACACACACGCUGGG
ensembl:lncRNA